CUAAAAGUUUUAAUUUGACUUUAAAAAUAGAAAAUGCCUCUCAGUAUUUGAUUAAAGGGUAUGAAAGAAGAGCAGGGACCUGCUGGAGUCUUACCUGUUGUGCAGUGUCCUUAACUGUGUUAAAUGAGAUGCAAGCAUUGAUUUUUUUUUUUUUUUUUAAUUUUUUUUCACUGUCUUCUUUCCAUACCCAGACUGAUAAUUCAGGUCUUUUAUCUAAGUAGAUUCAACUUGCAUUUACUGUAAAGUUAGGUAGUUAAAGAAGAAUCAAAGUAAGGGCCUGGCCCCUGGGCAUGAGUAUCUGCUGAAAUGUGUGUAAUUGUAUUUUCAACAUGAUUAGGUGCCUAACGUGUAAGUGGCCAUGACUUAGGAGUUCUCUCACACUUUAUUCUUCACUUUGCAGCAUUAAAGCAUUGAACAGUACACCUACAGACAAAAAGAAAAAGGCUCCAUACUCUUCAGCUUUUAAAAAAAAUGGUGGGUAUCUUGGGCUGAGAAGAAAACCUGUCUGGGUGGGAGCUCUUCCACUCAAGGCACUGCUGGUGUAGCAGGAUGCUCCACCUUGUUUUCGUGUCUUCAUUGCCUUUUGUGUUCCCAGCUGAGACUUCCUCCUCUAUCUCUUGCACUUGGUUUCUGUGUCUUGGACAAUGGGCAUCUUUGAGAGGUUUUCAUAUGCUUCAUGGAAGGGCCAUGCCCUUUUCUAAUGAUUGCUUGAAAAUAAGUGACCAGACUUUAUAAUAAACAUUCGUUCAUGCCCAGAGCAAUUUCUCCAAUUAGAAGCUGAUGUUUCAGAUGGAGUUUUCAAGAAAUGUAUGUGCAAUAAUUAAACUAACUAGCAGGAGUUAUAAUUCAGCAAAGUCGGCAGGGCUGGGCUGUUGUGCAUUGUUCCUGCUCGGCCAGGCAUAGGCGGGGAAACGUUUUUUUGCUGCGCUGGGAGCUGGAGCUAAGUGCUCCCUUUCUUUUCUCUCCCUGCCAUGUUCUCUCUUGCUACCAAAAAUUAAAUUAACACCCCACCAGUUUAGGUUCAGUAAUUUUCACUGUGAGUUUUCCAGUCAUUAGCGGAUGAUUAUGGUGCAGUGUAGACUGUUGGACAUUAAAUGUUAUUCAUCUAUGCCCAGUCAUAAACUGUCAAUUGUCUUUUUUCCUCCCAAUUAUCUUCUUUAUAUAAUGAAAAUUUCUUUUCAGUGAGGGAGCAUUAGGUUUCAUAGUAAUAAAACCUCUGAGGACGAGUUUACUGCAAAGUCAUCUACACCUUUUGUAUGCCCCGUGGUAUUACCAUGGGAACUUCAGGGGAUGUAAACUACAAUUUCUCAUUCUGUCCCACCCCAACUUAGAGCUGGUUAGAGAUCUACUAAAGACUCUUUAUAUCUGUGAGGUGGCUAUUGCAGCCUUAAAAAAAAAACCAACAGAAGGUAAAAUUAAACUCAUGGCCUGGCAGAGGUGCUUAUGAAUUUACUCCCAACUUUGAGCAAAGAACUUCACUGCUCAGAAGUGUCGAAUUGGGCCCUUAAUGUACUUUGUAAAAGCAGCUUUUAGAAACUCGGGAGAAAGGGGAAAGAGCUAAAUGAGUAUGGACUGCAUAUAAAGUGCCUGAUUUCUCAGUAUGUGGUUUGCGCUUGUGUUUUGGAGAGUGAAAUCUUGGAGUCAGAAAUGCUGUUUGCUCUUUAAAGAAAGCUGUGGAUGGUCUGCAAGACUAAUGCAGGUUGCUUAAAACAUAUUGUGAAAAU